GACGAACGCUGGCGGCGUGCCUAAUACAUGCAAGUAGAACGCUGAAGAGAGGAGCUUGCUCUUCUUGGAUGAGUUGCGAACGGGUGAGUAACGCGUAGGUAACCUGCCUGGUAGCGGGGGAUAACUAUUGGAAACGAUAGCUAAUACCGCAUAAAAUGGAUUAUCGCAUGAUAAUCCAUUGAAAGGUGCAAAUGCAUCACUACCAGAUGGACCUGCGUUGUAUUAGCUAGUUGGUGGGGUAACGGCUCACCAAGGCGACGAUACAUAGCCGACCUGAGAGGGUGAUCGGCCACACUGGGACUGAGACACGGCCCAGACUCCUACGGGAGGCAGCAGUAGGGAAUCUUCGGCAAUGGACGGAAGUCUGACCGAGCAACGCUGCGUGAGUGAAGAAGGUUUUCGGAUCGUAAAGCUCUGUUGUAAGAGAAGAACGAGUGUGAGAGUGGAAAGUUCACACUGUGACGGUAUCUUACCAGAAAGAGACGGCUAACUACGUG
rnacentral:rRNA from 1 species